rnacentral:rRNA from 1 species
UACGGAGGGGGCUAGCGUUGUUCGGAAUUACUGGGCGUAAAGCGCACGUAGGCGGCUUUGUAAGUUAGAGGUGAAAGCCCGGAGCUCAACUCCGGAAUUGCCUUUAAGACUGCAUCGCUAGAAUUGUGGAGAGGUAAGUGGAAUUCCGAGUGUAGAGGUGAAAUUCGUAGAUAUUCGGAAGAACACCAGUGGCGAAGGCAGCCCCCUGGGUUAACACUGACGCUCAUGCACGAAAGCGUGGGGAGCAAACAGG